rnacentral:rRNA from 1 species
UACGUAGGGUCCGAGCGUUGUCCGGAAUUACUGGGCGUAAAGAGCUCGUAGGUGGUUUGUCGCGUUGUUCGUGAAAACUCACAGCUCAACUGUGGGCGUGCGGGCGAUACGGGCAGACUGGAGUACUGCAGGGGAGACUGGAAUUCCUGGUGUAGCGGUGGAAUGCGCAGAUAUCAGGGGGAACACCGGUGGCGAAGGCGGGUCUCUGGGCAGUAACUGACGCUGAGGAGCGAAAGCGUGGGGAGCGAACAGG